UUAAGCGACUAAGCGUACACGGUGGAUGCCCUGGCAGUCAGAGGCGAUGAAGGACGUGCUAAUCUGCGAUAAGCGUCGGUAAGGUGAUAUGAACCGUUAUAACCGGCGAUUUCCGAAUGGGGAAACCCAGUGCAAUUCGUUGCACUAUUUAUUACGUGAAUACAUAGCGUAAUGAAGCGAACCGGGGGAACUGAAACAUCUAAGUACCCCCGAGGAAAAGAAAUCAACCGAGAUUCCCCCAGUAGCGGCGAGCGAACGGGGGAGCAGCCCAGAGUCUGAAUCAGCUUGUGUGUUAGUGGAACGGUCUGGGAAAGUCCGACGGUACAGGGGUGAUAGUCCCGUACACCCAAAAAUGCACAGGUUGUUGAACUCGAAGAGUAGGGCGGGACACGUGGUAUCCUGUCUGAAUAUGGGGGGACCAUCCUCCCAAGGCUAAAUACUCCUGACUGACCGAUAGUGAACCAGUACCGUGAGGGAAAGGCGAAAAAGAACCCCGGCGAGGGGAGUGAAAAAGAACCUGAAACCGUGUACGUACAAGCAGUGGGAGCCUCUUUAUGGGUGACUGCGUACCUUUUGUAUAAUGGGUCAGCGACUUAUAUUCUGUAGCAAGGUUAACCGAAUAGGGGAGCCGAAGGGAAACCGAGUCUUAACUGGGCGUUAAGUUGCAGGGUAUAGACCCGAAACCCGGUGAUCUAGCCAUGGGCAGGUUGAAGGUUGGGUAACACUAACUGGAGGACCGAACCGACUAAUGUUGAAAAAUUAGCGGAUGACUUGUGGCUGGGGGUGAAAGGGCCAAUCAAACCGGGAGAUAGCUGGUUCUCCCCGGAAAGCUAUUUAGGUAGCGCCUCGUGAACUCAUCUUCGGGGGUAGAGCACUGUUUCGGCUAGGGGGUCAUCCCGACUUACCAACCCGAUGCAAACUGCGAAUACCGAAGAAUGUUAUCACGGGAGACACACGGCGGGUGCUAACGUCCGUCGUGAAGAGGGAAACAACCCAGACCGCCAGCUAAGGUCCCAAAGUCAUGGUUAAGUGGGAAACGAUGUGGGAAGGCACAGACAGCCAGGAUGUUGGCUUAGAAGCAGCCAUCAUUUAAAGAAAGCGUAAUAGCUCACUGGUCGAGUCGGCCUGCGCGGAAGAUGUAACGGGGGCUAAACCAUGCACCGAAGCUGCGGCAGCGACACUUACGUGUUGUUGGGUAGGGGGAGCGUUCUGUAAGCCGUUGAAGGUGGCCUGUGGAGGGUUGCUGGAGGUAUCAGAAGUGCGAAUGCUGACAUAAGUAACGAUAAUGCGGGUGAAAAACCCGCACGCCGGAAGACCAAGGGUUCCUGUCCAACGUUAAUCGGGGCAGGGUGAGUCGACCCCUAAGGCGAGGCCGAAAGGCGUAGUCGAUGGGAAACAGGUUAAUAUUCCUGUACUUGGUGUUACUGCGAAGGGGGGACGGAGAAGGCUAUGUUGGCCGGGCGACGGUUGUCCCGGUUUAAGCGUGUAGGUGUGUGUUCCAGGUAAAUCCGGAAUGCUUUAACACUGAGGCGUGAUGACGAGGCACCACGGUGCUGAAGUGACAAAUGCCCUGCUUCCAGGAAAAGCCUCUAAGCAUCAGGUAACACGAAAUCGUACCCCAAACCGACACAGGUGGUCAGGUAGAGAAUACCAAGGCGCUUGAGAGAACUCGGGUGAAGGAACUAGGCAAAAUGGUGCCGUAACUUCGGGAGAAGGCACGCUGAUAUGUAGGUGAAGUGAUUUACUCAUGGAGCUGAAAUCAGUCGAAGAUACCAGCUGGCUGCAACUGUUUAUUAAAAACACAGCACUGUGCAAACACGAAAGUGGACGUAUACGGUGUGACGCCUGCCCGGUGCCGGAAGGUUAAUUGAUGGGGUUAUCCGUAAGGAGAAGCUCUUGAUCGAAGCCCCGGUAAACGGCGGCCGUAACUAUAACGGUCCUAAGGUAGCGAAAUUCCUUGUCGGGUAAGUUCCGACCUGCACGAAUGGCGUAAUGAUGGCCAGGCUGUCUCCACCCGAGACUCAGUGAAAUUGAACUCGCUGUGAAGAUGCAGUGUACCCGCGGCAAGACGGAAAGACCCCGUGAACCUUUACUAUAGCUUGACACUGAACACUGGUCCUUGAUGUGUAGGAUAGGUGGGAGGCUUUGAAGUGUGGACGCCAGUCUGCAUGGAGCCGACCUUGAAAUACCACCCUUUAAUGGCUGGUGUUCUAACGUGGGCCCGUGAUCCGGGUUGCGGACAGUGUCUGGUGGGUAGUUUGACUGGGGCGGUCUCCUCCCAAAGAGUAACGGAGGAGCACGAAGGUUAGCUAAUCCUGGUCGGACAUCAGGAGGUUAGUGCAAAGGCAUAAGCUAGCUUGACUGCGAGAGUGACGGCUCGAGCAGGUGCGAAAGCAGGUCUUAGUGAUCCGGUGGUUCUGAAUGGAAGGGCCAUCGCUCAACGGAUAAAAGGUACUCCGGGGAUAACAGGCUGAUACCGCCCAAGAGUUCAUAUCGACGGCGGUGUUUGGCACCUCGAUGUCGGCUCAUCACAUCCUGGGGCUGAAGUAGGUCCCAAGGGUAUGGCUGUUCGCCAUUUAAAGUGGUACGCGAGCUGGGUUUAGAACGUCGUGAGACAGUUCGGUCCCUAUCUGCCGUGGGCGCUGGAGAAUUGAGGGGGGCUGCUCCUAGUACGAGAGGACCGGAGUGGACGCAUCACUGGUGUUCGGGUUGUCAUGCCAAUGGCACUGCCCGGUAGCUAAAUGUGGAAGAGAUAAGUGCUGAAAGCAUCUAAGCACGAAACUUGCCCCGAGAUGAGUUCUCCCUGACCCUUUAAGGGUCCUGAAGGAACGUUGAAGACGACGACGUUGAUAGGCCGGGUGUGUAAGCGCAGCGAUGCGUUGAGCUAACCGGUACUAAUGAACCGUGAGGCUUAACCUU
rnacentral:rRNA from 1 species